AUGUCGAUGACAUCAUCCAAGCAUGUCUUCGGUUCCUACGGCAUCAUGGCGUUGCUCUUCUUCGCCGCGGCUCUUGUUACAGCGGAUCUUUCCGCUGAAUUCUACGACGAAAGCUGCCCGGACGCUCUGGACAUCAUCGAGGACGCCGUGAGGGCCGCCGUCUCCAAAGAAUCCCGCAUGGGCGCGUCGCUGCUCCGCCUCCAUUUCCACGACUGCUUCGUCAAUGGCUGUGACGGGUCGGUGCUGCUCGAUGGCGCCACCGGCGAGAAGAAUGCGGUGCCAAACAAGAACUCCCUUCGCGGCUUCGAGCUGGUCGACGACAUCAAGGCGCAGCUCGAGGAAGCGUGCGCCAAGGUGGUGUCCUGCGCAGACAUCCUCGCCGUCGCCGCCCGUGACUCCGUUGUCGCGCUGGGCGGGCCUACCUGGGACGUGGAGCUAGGCAGAAGGGACGGGACGACGACGAGCCAGGACGCCGCGAACAGCGACCUCCCGGCGCCGACCUCCGACCUCGGCGCCCUGACCAAGGCAUUCUCAACCAAGGGCCUCACCCAGAAGGACAUGGUGGCGCUCUCCGGCGCGCACACCAUCGGGCAGGCCCGGUGCGUCAACUUCCGCGGCCGCCUCUACAACGAGACCGCACCCAGCCUGGACGCGACGCUCGCCACGUCGCUGAAGCCGAGGUGCCCAGCGACGGACGGCACCGGCGACGACAACACCUCGCCGCUGGACCCCUCCACGUCCUACGUGUUCGACAACUUCUACUACAAGAACCUCCUGCGCAACAAGGGCCUGCUGCACUCGGACCAGCAGCUGUUCAGCGGCGGCGGCUCGGCCGACGCGCAGACCACCGCCUACGCGUCCGGCAUGGGUGCCGGCUUCUUCGACGACUUCCGCGACGCCAUGGUGAAGAUGGGCGGCAUCGGCGUGCUCACCGGGUCGAGCGGGCAGGUCAGGGUGAACUGCAGGAAGGCCAACUGA
rnacentral:rRNA from 1 species